CCUACGGGUGGCAGCAGUGAGGAAUAUUGGUCAAUGGGCGGGAGCCUGAACCAGCCAAGUCGCGUGAGGGAAGACGGUCCUAUGGAUUGUAAACCUCUUUAGGCGGGGAGCAAUGCCGCGCACGUGUGCCCGGAGGGAGAGUACCUGCAGAAUAAGCAUCGGCUAACUCCGUGCCAGCAGCCGCGGUAAUACGGAGGAUGCGAGCGUUAUCCGGAUUGAUUGGGUGAAAAGGGUGCGUAGGCGGGUUUUUAAGUCAGUGGGAAGAUGUCCGGGCUCAACCCGGGCCGGCCGUUGAAACUAGGGAUCUUGAGUGAGCGAGAAGUAUGCGGAAUGCGUGGUGUAGCGGUGAAAUGCAUAGAUAUCACGCAGAACUCCGAUUGCGAAGGCAGCAUACCGGCGCCCGACUGACGCUGAGGCACGAAAGCGUGGGGAUCGAACAGGAUUAGAUACCCGAGUAGUC
rnacentral:rRNA from 1 species